rnacentral:lncRNA from 1 species
UUGUACCCGGCUUCCUUGUUUCAGGUAAGUUGGCCUUUGCGUCUUGCGAGACGACUGAUGUCCCAGGCAACGACUGGUACCGGGACUUUUUUAAUGGUAAGGAUUUUAUUUUUUGUUUCUUUAUGACAGGCCACAGUUGGAGUGGUUGUCCUGUCACUGUUAUGAAAACAUGCAUAAUAUAUUAGGUUGAGUUAGGUUAGAGUUAAAAAUUAGAGAUAAGCUUUUUAAUCCCAGCAAGUGAGGACAGGAGGACACAUCAACAGAGGACAGAGGCUAAAGAAGACUUCUUUAUCAACCACAACAAUGUAAGUAAAAAUACUGAACACACCUUUACUGUAAAAAUAAACUUGACUUUAUAAUAAUGCUUGUAAAAUGUUAAACAGGAGCACCAGCAUCCACAGCUGCUUGAGGAGGAAACAUCAACAGAAAGCAAAACAAUUAAUGUAAGUAAAGUCUCUCAUUAGCACAGAAAGACACUGAAGUAAUGUUUAAUGUAAAAAUAGAGGUGAUUUUAUACUAAUGCCUGUAAAAUGUUGGACUGGAACAACAGCAUCCACUGAUGGAGGAGGAGGAUGAUGAAGAUGGAGGACAGGAGCACCAGUAUCCACAGCAUCCUGAGGAGGAAACAUUACCAGAGGACAGAAAGACUUCUAUUCACCAAAACAAUGUAAGCAAAAAUACUACACGUUUAAUAAAAAAUAAUAUGGAGACAUUACGCUAUACUAAUGCCUGUAAAAUGUCAGACAGGAGUGCCAGCAUCCACUGAUGGAGGAGGAGGAUGAAGAAGAUGGAGGACAUUAGCACCAGCAUCCACAGCUGCCUGAGGAGGAAACAUCAACAGAAAGCAAAACAAUCAAAACAAUUAAUGUAAGUAAAGUCUCUCAUUAGCACAGAAAGACACUGAACUAAUGUUUAAUGUAAAAAUAGAGGUGACUUUAUACUAAUGCCUGUAAAAUGUUGGACUGGAACAACGGCAUCUACUGAUGGAGGAGGAGGAUGAUGAUGGAGGACAGGAGCACCAGUAUCCACAGCAUCCUGAGGAGGAAACAUCAACAGAGGACAGAGACUUCUAUUCACCAAAACAAUACAGGAGCACCAGCAUCCACAGCAUCCUGAGGAGGAAACAUUACCAGAGGACAGAAAGACUUCUAUUCACCAAAACAAUCAAUAGUUUUGCUUCAGAGGAGAAUCCGACAGUUCCAGAUGUUCGUCACCAGCACUGCAGUGUUUACACAGACUGCUUUGGUUUCAACUUUCUACAAAAAACUGUUGAAUUUUCAACUCACUUUCCAUCUGAAUCCAAGCUCAUCUUCAUCACUGGGAUGUUUCUUCAUCAGUUCUUCGUACAGACUGACACAGCUCACACAUGGAGAAGAUGAUUUAUGGAAUAUGACAUUUAGAUUUUUCCUUUUCUCAACAGUAUGAUGCAUACAUCCCAACCCAAAUUUCAUGCAUUUUUUUGGCUUAACUUGAGCCAAUUUCCAUCAAUAAAUUGCUAAUGUAUUAUUAUUGACUAUUACUA